rnacentral:rRNA from 1 species
AUGAUAUAUACUUUCAAACAAAUUGGUUACGGCACUCAUUGCGCCUCAACAGCCGCGGGCGCGAUUGUGGAGGGCGCCGACUACUACGGCCUGGCCCGGGGUGCGGCCAAGGGUGGCGCGCCGGCCGCGCGCGUGGCCUCGUACAAGGUGUGCACUGAGGACGAGAACGGAUGCUCUGGCUCAGUGCUACUCAAGGCCAUCGACGACGCGGUGAGCGACGGGGUGGACGUGAUCUCCAUCUCCAUUGGCAAGACCACUACCGACACAACGCCAGACGUACUCUCCGACCCUGUUGCACUCGGAGCCUUCCACGCACACCAGAGUGGCGUCCUCGUGGUCUGCUCCGCUGGCAACGACGGGCCCGACCCAUCCACCAUUGUCAACUCCGCGCCGUGGAUCCUCACGGUCGCCGCCUCCACCAUCGACCACGCUUUCCACUCCAGUGUAGUCCUCGGCAAUGGGAAGGUAUUCAAGGGUGUCGCCAUAAACUUCUCCAACCAAAGCCGUAGUGGAGAGCGCUACCCUCUGGUGUUUGGGGCCCAAGCGGCUACCCGGCGCACGCCAGCGUCCGAGGCAAGCAAUUGUUAUCUGGGAUCGCUGCGCAAGCGCAAGGUGUCUGGGAAGAUUUUGGUGUGCGUCCGCACAGACUCGAUGAUUACGCGGAGGAUAACGAAGCUCGUCGCCGAGGACUCUGGGGCGAGGGGGCUGGUGUUGAUCGACGACAAGGCCAUGGAGGCACCGAUCGACACCGGCAGCUUCCCCUUCUCCCAAGUGGGCUCAUACGCCGGCACACACAUACUGCGGUACAUUAACUCCACCAAGAAUCCAACGGCGGUGAUCCUCGCCACAGAGGACGUCACGUUGUUCAAGCCUGCACCCGUGGUGGCAUCCUUCUCGGCCCGCGGCCCUGCUGCCCUCACCGAAUCCAUCCUCAAGCCCGAUCUGAUGGCGCCCGGGGUCAGCAUCCUCGCCGCGAUGCCGCCCAUGAACAUGUAGGACGUCCCCGCCGGCAAGAAGCCCUCGUCAUUCUCCAUCAAGUCCGGCACUUCCAUGGCCUGCCCGCACGUCGCCGGUGCCGGUACCUUCCUCAAGUCCGCCCACCCGCGCUGGUACCCAUCCAUCAUCAGAUCAGCUCUCAUGACCACAGCGACGCCGAGAAACAACGUUGGACUGCCGGUGGCGAGCAGCAGUGGCGCGGCGGCGACCGGACACGACAUGGGUGCGGGCGAGAUCAUACCGCUUCAUGCGCUCAGUCCAGGACUAGUGUUUGACACCACCACAAGGGACUACCUCCACUUCCUCUGGUACCAGGGCUACAAGGACAAGGUCAUCCGCAAGGUCUCGGGCGACGCCCAGUUCACCUGCCCGCGUGGCGCACCCUCGCCGGACCUCAUCGCAAAGAGCGUCAACUACCCGUCUAUCUCCGUGCCGCGGCUAGCGGCCCGGAAGCGGUUCGCCGUGUCGCGCACCGCCACGACCACGAACGUCGGGCGGUCUAACGCGACGUACAAGGUGGCCGUCGAGGCGCCGCCGGGCCUCUUGGUGAAGGUGUCGCCUAAGCGGUUGCUGUUCUUAAGGCGAUGGGCCACGGCGGCGUACGAGGUGAGCUUCACUCAAGCCGGGGCCAGGAAGGGGUACGCGUACGGCGCAGUCGCCUGGUCGGAUGGAGUGCACUCGGUCCGGACGCCGUUCGCCGUUAAUGUCGUCUGA